rnacentral:piRNA from 1 species
UGAAACAAAGUUUUGAAAGUGGAAGGAUU